rnacentral:lncRNA from 1 species
GCCCGCCGCGCUGUGAUUUCGGAAGGAGGAUCAGAGCGCCGCCGUGAUCCACUCCUCGUCUGUGCCUCGGUGGGCGGAGUAUUGUGCCUGUGGCACCGGGGCUCGUCACCGGUCUGCGCCUGAGACCUCGAUCGUGGUCGUGGAGCUGGGUGCCUGCCGCGGGAUAUCCGAGCGGGAUUGGCUGAGUCGGCGUCAACCUCGGUGAGUGUCUUCUCUCGUUGCAGUAGUGUCUGGCUACCAAUACCGAUCGGUGGAGGCGGAGUAGAGUGCGAUUGCAAGGUCUAGGCACCACCGGCGGUGGUUGUGGUGUUUCACGCCGGGAUUGGGGGCACGCACCAGUAGGGUGCGCGCGGUCGGCUUCGUGGCGGGCUGUCGAGAUGAAGAAGACGACACAUCGUCCGUAGAUCGGGGAACCGACAGCUAGGAUUGGGCACGCGGAUCGUUUGGGCGAGAUUAAAUCCGAGCCGUGGAUGACGGAUCGGAGCGUCAGCGCUGCGUACCGCUUCAUCACCUGGGCGAUCUAAUCUGGCGCGUCCAGAGUAAAUCGAACGGCGGAGAUCACAUGUUGACGCUUCGCCGAGGUGAAAUUGUAAAUGAGCCCCUGGACCUCAUAAAAAUUAACCCGCAGUCCAUCACAUGUUUAAUCUGAGUCUUGGAAAUUUUAUGAGUUAGCCCUUGUACUCUUUCGUAUUCAUGUGUGCAAUCCAGAGAGAUGUUAAAUGGAAUAGAAAAUAUAGAAAAUUAGUUUUGUAUUAAAAUAAUUAUAGAAACUUGUUUAAAUCAUAUAAAAUUCAUUUUAAUUCCUUUUUGAUCCAUUCUAGUUGCAUUAAUUUUGUUUUAAUAUUAAUUAUCACCUAGUAACUCUGUUUAUUCAUAAAACAUAGACUAAAACUAUUCAUUUAGCUUAAUCUAUAUCAACCACUUAAUAACUUCAGAAAAUCAUAACUCGGUAACUGUAACUCCAAAUUUAGUGAUUCUCGUUCCUACGAUCCUGUACUAUGUUUGUUUGUAUUGCGAGUAGACGAGCAAGCCACUGAGUGAACAUCCAAAGCUUUACAUACAACGACUACAUUUUGGAAAUUUGUAGCCUUCUACUACAUUUUGGAAGUUUGUAGCCUUCUGACAGCUUUAUCAUACUUGUGAACAAGAGCCCAAGCAGGCAAGCACACCAUAAUGAGUGAGAUGAACCAUAUUGUCCAAUGGGUAGGCGGGUUAUGGGGAGGUGUGUAGAAUGGAUAUUUCAGAAAUGGGUUUGGGCAUGGGUAAGACCUGGUGUGUUCAUACCCUCACCAUAGGCAGGUCUAGAAGUCUUUAUAUGACCAAUUCAUGCUUUGUGCUAUGUUGUUCAUAAUCAACAUACGGGUAACGACUAACGAAUUAUGUAGUCUAUUAUCAGCCAGGGGCUGAUUUUGUGUAAGCUACUGGGAAAUGCCUUGGAUGAGCUAUGCAAUAGCAAUCACAGUGUAUUCAUGCGCAGGGCAUAAACUACCAAUACCACAAAGCAUUGCCAACAUAGAUAAAGAUCGCAUAAUUGUAAGAGAAAUUUGGAUCUGUACCAUUAAAAGAUUACAACUUUAGAUAUAUAUCAUUGCUAUCUCACUUACAUGUGGGUCCACAUGAGUCAAUGACAUGUGAAGCCAAUGGCAUAUAUCUAAAGUUGCAAUUUUUUAAUGGUAUAGAUCCAAUUAUUCCUAAUUGUGAAUGAACAUAAUAGUACUACUGGGAAAUGUUAUGGAUUCCUGAAUAACACAGGGGCAUGCUCGCCCCAUAGAAGUACAAUGUAUUAUAUGUGGGUUAACAAUGUUCAAAAGAAAAGGCUGAAUAACCUUGAGUUCUUUGAUCUUUUCUUCAAGGCUACCAUUAGUUUCCUUCAGCUGCUGUGCUUCUGAAUGAAGCUGAAUAACCAUGCGAGUAGCAUCACUUAGGAUAGCAGCUUUGUCAACUUUUACUGGCUUCCCUGGUUCUAAUGUAGACCCCAAUUCAAGGAACCUAUAAACCGUAAGAAGGAAAUGAAAAGGUAUGUCAAUGACACAUUAAUUCAUUUUUUGAUACUUCAGUGUCAGCAAAAUUAUGUCUACGGUUUACCUAUCAUUCAGCUUGUUCCUCCUCAUUUUUUCCCUAGAAGCUUUAGAUGUUGGCACAUGCACAUCAUUGGAUCCUGACCUCAAAUUGCAAGUUGCAAUAGAGUUACAAUUGUAUGGAUGAUGUCAUCAUACAUCAAGACAAUAUGAAUACUUUUCUUAAGCCAUAGGGCGAAAUAAUAGACACACCGCUUAUUGCUGCCAGGCUCCUUGAAGACAUCAUUGGUGUUCACAUAGCUGCCCACUUCCACGCUGCAAAAUAAAGGGGAAUAUCAAUUAGCAGUUCUAGCUGUAAAUGAACUUUCUUUUUCCUAUUUGCUACUACCUAAGUUCAACCAAAUAACAUGUAAGGCAUUGAGCUCUACCCAUAUGGGGUAGACUGCAUUCAGUAAUAAAAAAGGCAUCGAAUAACAGAAUCACUGCAAAUUACUCUGAAAUUAGUACCAUAGCAAGAUCAGUGCAUACAUGACAGAUGGGAACUUAUAUCUUUGGCUCUACAGUCCAGCUUUACGAUGCCAUCCAUGACCUAGCAGCACAUCCCAUUGCUCGCAACACAUACUUAACGUCAGGACUGGUGACACAGUCCUCCAUCAAUUGAGUCGCCGACAUAAAAUGGUUCACGCUACAGCAGACCAUCUCAAUUGUUUGGGCAAAUCAUUGGUCACCAUCACACACAAUCCAUCCAUUCCACCGUCAUAAACACAGCCUCUGCAACAUGAGAACAAAUCAACGAAAUACCGAAAACAAUUCAUCCGCUCACGUCACAGUUCCAUGAUACUCAUCGCAUAGACACAGAACGCCGCCGUCACGGAACCGAUCGCCAGGAACCUAUGCUAAACGAAAGCAUCCGCAUUUCCUGGAACUCGAAGGGGGGAGUGGAGGGGAGGGCGGAGGGAUCGAUCGAUCGGUCAUCUGCGCUGACCUGGGGUUGGAAGAAGACGAGGAUGCGUCCCAUGAGAAGGCCCCGCAGGCCACGGCCGGGAGGUCGUCGAGGAUGCCGCAGUCGAGGAACCAGUCAUCGCCAGUGCCGGCGCCACCAUCCACUCCGUCCGGGGGAAGAGACAUCGCUACCGCCGCCGCCGAAGAGAGACCCUGGGAGGGCUAGAGUAAAAGUUCGUGGGGUCUUUUCAGUGGUUCGCAUAGCAGACCCAAUUCCCAAGAUUAGGAAGGUGGGUCAUGCUGUGGACGACAUGUGGGCCCAAUUUCUUUCGUGUUAAUGCAUGGUUGGUGGACGGCGAUUUGUCUUUCGGCAGGUGUGCGUCGCUGGAGAGAGCACAUGCAUCGGACGGGGGAGAGACUCCAUGGUGCAUCAGACGGUUAAGAUUGAUGGAAGGCAGAACGACAGGCUACCCUUGCUGCCUUAAUAAGUAGUAUAGAAUACUAGUCCUAAAGGAACACCUACCUAGGAAAUCUUAGUGAUCGAUUUGUACCGUGAAGGAAAGUUGUAUUCAAGACGCAACUUACUAUAUUUCUAUUGUAUAAUUGCAUAUUCAUGACAUAGCAUAAGCAUUCAUAUAUGUAUAUUAUCAUGUAUAGAACACGAGGAAGAAUCCGUAGUAGAGGAAGAAGUUGUCUCCCAGAGUGAGAAUCCUCUACUGGAGAACAACUUUUAUUUCGAUAUCUGCGGUAUGGUAACAGAAACUCCUACAACACAAGGCAAGCUCCAGUGCAUUAUCCCUUUUCUUUAUCACCUUAUAUGAUGCAUUAGGUGAUAGGAAUUGUGUGACAAACAGUUGAUGCAUUUCCUUCCUUGGAAAAUUUGGUUACCAAGCCUUGUUACCUAUUUUAUUUAAACAAGUUUUCUAAUGCUUAGUCUUGCUAUAGAAAACAAAAUGUUUUGUUUUGAAAAGGUGAUGCUUCACACUAGAUGGGAAUUUUUACAACGAAAAGACUUAUGAUGGUGAAUCCAUCAUGGACGUGAUGGGUUCAACAUCUGAAAGGAGUACCUAUGUCAGGUACCAAACUUUGGGGUUUAAGUAAUAAAGACAAGACCGGGCGGGUGACUUGCACGAGAAGGAAGUCUCGGUGUAGUGUCUCCAUCUAAGUCGUUUAAGGACCGAGUCGAUGUAGGCCUGCUGAUCGAUGACCUUUUAACUGGCCACAUGCCUCGUCAUGGGUAAGCUUUGCCUUGGUCGGACCAAUACCAGAAAGGCCACCAUGCAAUGGGAGUGGAGAGAUGGCGAGAGUAGCGUGUACCCACCGUGGCAAGAGGCUAGACGGUGGAGUAUCUGUGCUCUCGGUUGGCGUGAACCCAUUCUAGUCUUAAGAGACCUGGGUGCAAGUUGACAUAUACAAGGGUUAAGUGCUACAUUCAGCCGUGCAUGCUCGCCUGCCCCCCCCGCGCUCGAUCCCUGAUCUAAUCUCAUUCGUCCAUCUGCGAUCUAGCGGUUGGAAAAGCCCGAUACACCUUCGCGCGGCAGUUUUGUUUAAAAGACCCUCAGUUCUCGGGUAAUAGAACCCGUCAUCCCUGAAUUUUGCGCGCAGGUCCCUGACUUCUUUUAAAUAGACCCCUGACCAUUUAAAUAAUCACAUAAUUGGGCUUAGUUUUAUAUUUCAAACUUCAAAACUUGUUUAUUUCAUAUCUUUUCAUAUGAACUCCAAAUUUACUAGUUCAAAUUGCAAAAUGUCCAUAGAAAUAUUCUCUGUCCAAAUAAAUUAUGAUUAUCCACAGCAUGUGCACUUUAAUCUUAUGCCUAGACUAAAGGUUAAGUUUAAGUAAUAAUGUAUUUGUUUAGUAAAAUAGAUAAAAAGGAAAAUGCUAAUGGUACUUAGAUGUUUAAUGUUGUGAGAUUAAUAAAAUGUUUUGUAUGAAUUGAUCCCUAGUAUAAUUUUGUGUCUCACUAAAAUUAGUAGAACUAAACUAAAUAGUCCAUAAUAUCUAGGGAAUCACUGAUCUCUAAUUAUAUUAAUCCCUAGCAUUUAAGUCUACCCUUUAUGUUCAUAGUGUCUUAUCAAACUUGUGUUCACUUGAUUUUACAUGUUUGGUGUGCUGUUCAUUUGUACUUUUCCAAAUGUAUUGAAUGUAUGAUCGCUUUAUUUAGACAACGAGCAGCCCGUGGUUCCUGAGUGUGUUGCCGAAGAUCUUCCUCAGCAACAACCUGGUGAAGGCAAGUGUCCUCUGACCUAUUAUGUCCUACAUAGUUUAUAAUUCACCGUCCCGCAUUACAUUAUUGA